rnacentral:rRNA from 1 species
CAUGUUCUCGUCCUAUCAUCGAAGUUAAGCAAUGUCGAGCCUAGUCAGUAUCUAGAUGGGUAACCGCUUGGGAAUACUGGGUGCUGUAAG